UACGUAGGGUGCGAGCGUUAAUCGGAAUUACUGGGCGUAAAGCGUGCGCAGGCGGUUGUGCAAGACAGAUGUGAAAUCCCCGGGCUUAACCUGGGAAUUGCAUUUGUGACUGCACGGCUAGAGUGUGUCAGAGGGAGGUAGAAUUCCACGUGUAGCAGUGAAAUGCGUAGAUAUGUGGAGGAAUACCGAUGGCGAAGGCAGCUCGCUGGGACGGUACUGACGCUGAGGCGCGAAAGCGUGGGGAGCAAACAGG
rnacentral:rRNA from 1 species